GGAGGAAAAGAAACUAACAAGGAUUCCCCUAGUAACUGCGAGUGAAGCGGGAAAAGCUCAAAUUUGAAAUCUGGCAGUCCUCUGAUUGUCCGAGUUGUGAACUAGAGAAGUGUUACCCGCGUUGGACCGUGUACAAGUCUCCUGGAAUGGAGCGUCAUAGAGGGUGAGAAUCCCGUCUUUGACACGGACUGCCAAGGCUUUGUGGUGCGCUCUCAAAGAGUCGAGUUGUUUGGGAAUGCAGCUCAAAAUGGGUGGUAAAUGCCAUCUAAAGCUAAAUACAGGCGAGAGACCGAUAGCGAACAAGUACCGUGAGGGAAAGAUGAAAAGAACUUUGGAAAGAGAGUUAAACAGUACGUGAAAUUGCUGAAAGGGAAACGCUUGAAGUCAGUCGCGUUGGCUGGGAAUCAACCUUGCUCUUGCUGGGUGUACUUUCCAGUUUGACGGGUCAGCAUCAGUUUUGACCGGUGGAUAAAGGUGUGGGAAAUGUGGCUCCCUCGGGAGUGUUAUAGUCCUGCAUUGUAUACAUCGGUUGGGACUGAGGAACUCAGCACGCCGAAAGGCCGGGGCUUCGGCUCACGUUCGUGCUUAGGAUGCUGGCAAAAUGGCUUUAAUCGACCCGUCUUGAAACACGGACCAAGGAGUCUAACAUGCCUGCGAGUGUUUGGGGUGGAAAACCCGAGCGCACAAUGAAAGUGAAAGUUGAGAUCCCUGUCGUGGGGAGCAUCGACGCCCAUACCUGAUGUUUACUGACGGAUAUGCGGUAGAGCAUGUAUGUUGGGACCCGAAAGAUGGUGAACUAUGCCUGAAUNAGGGUGAAGCCAGAGGAAACUCNUGGUGGAGGCUCGUAGCGAUUCUGACGUGCAAAUCGAUCGUCAAAUUUGGGUAUAGGGGGCGAAAGACUAAUCGAACCAUCUAGUAGCUGGU
rnacentral:rRNA from 1 species